rnacentral:rRNA from 1 species
UACGAGUGGUGCAAACGUUAUUCGGAUUUACUGGGCGUAAAGGGUGAGUAGACGGCAUAAUAAGUCAACUGUUAAAUUUUUCGGCCUAACCGAAAGCCAGCAGUAGAAACUAUUAUACUUGAGGAUGGAAGAGAGAAGUGGAAUUCUCGGAGUAGCGGUAAGAUGCGUAGAUAUCGAGAGGAACACCGAUGGCGAAGGCAGCUUCGUGCUCCAUACCUGACGUUGAGGCACGAAAGCGUGGCGAGCACACAGG